UCGAGAAUCUUCCGCAAUGGGCGAAAGCCUGACGGAGCGACGCCGCGUGAGGGAUGAAGGUCUUCGGAUUGUAAACCUCUGUCACCCGGGACGAAGAAUGUGACGGUACCGGGAGAGGAAGCCACGGCUAACUACGUGCCAGCAGCCGCGGUAAUACGUAGGUGGCAAGCGUUAUUCGGAUUUACUGGGCGUAAAGGGUCCGCAGGGGGUUUGCCAAGUCUGAUGUGAAAUACUACGGCUCAACUGUGGAACUGCAUUGGAAACUGGCGGACUAUGAGUGCAUGAGGGGUGAGCAGAAUUCCUGGUGUAGCGGUGGAAUGCGUAGAUAUCAGGAGGAAUACCGAUGGCGAAGGCGGCUCACUGGCAUGCUACUGACCCUCAGUGGACGAAAGCGUGGGGAUCAAACAGG
rnacentral:rRNA from 1 species